rnacentral:misc_RNA from 1 species
UUAUGUUUCUGGAAUUUUCUUUUAGUGUGUUAUUGGAAUGGCCCGGUCCCAUUAACCGAUGCGUCACUUGGGGUUGCGUGAGCAUUUAAUGCCCAAGCGGGUAUAAAUAAGGAGGGGUGUAGCCACUUGCCCCCUUCUGUCAUUCUCAGACUUCUGUUGGCAAUUUCAACACUCUCCCUUUUUCUAGAGUUUUUCGGCGCUAUUUUAUACUCCGAUAAGGGCUUUAAUCUUCUUCCGACCAAUUUUAUUUUUAUUUUGUGAAGAUGAGUGGUACCGAGGGUCAGAGA